rnacentral:misc_RNA from 1 species
GUAAAUAUCGUUGCUGUGUUAAAUGCAAUACAUUUUCUUAAAUGGUUUUAAAAACUCAGCUUUAUUGUGAUGUCCUUAUAAUGAAAUUGUGAAUUACGCGGGCUCGGGUAGACAGCAAGAUAUGUCAUCAUUAGUUUAUUGUAAAAGGUAACCGAGUGGCUGUAAUGUCCUCGUUAUCGUUCUCGGCAACGAGAAAUGGAUGCACAGCAGUGCAAAUCACUUCAAAAGUUUGACGAUCCGAAAACGGAAAUUUUGAAAAAAAGAUUAUUAAAUUCGGUGAACACGUCGAUCGAGCCGAGCAUAAAUCAGAAUAAUCCUCAGCAUAAUGUGCUACUAAACGCAUUACGUGCACCAAUAUCGAGCAGUAUGAUCGUGUCCUCGAUGCAAGCGCCGCAGAGCUCUAUGCCUUUAACACACAAUUUAGUCACACAUUCUUUGGCUCCAGUUAAAAUUCACACAAAUAACUCUCCUUAUCCUCUGCAGUUAUCCACUGUUCACGUACCAGUGCAGAUUCCUGGCUCUACAUCAAAUAUCAAUGUUCCUGUGCAGUUGUCUACAACUUCUAGUACAGUUCCUUUGCAAAUAGGACCUACUGGUCUCCCAAUACAAGUUUCUGGAACAACUAAUGUUCCCGUUCAACUUCCAGCUGGUGAAACAAUCAAUGUUCCAUUGCAGCUUCCAACUGGAAGUCAGAACAUUCAGCUGACUGGCUCAACAUUGCCUUCUAUGCCUUUGUUGCAAAACAAUCAAUCUAUACAAAGUUCUAUAAUUCACGUCCAUAUGGGAUCUAAUCAAAGGCAGUCAAAUAUGGAUUCAGGUACUGAUCUAACAGUGACCGCUUCUUCUCAAGUUCAGAUGCCAGACUCAACAGGUGUUCAAGUGAAAAUGAAUACCACAACAGGAUCUCAAGUGCACAUAGCACCCAAUCCUGGUAUAGUCCAAAUCCCCAACACUACAAAUAGUUCAAUACAACUUAGAAAUUCUGCUAGGCCAAUGCCACAUGUUGUGUACAUUCAAACACCAAAUGGCUUAAAGCCUGUGACAAGUACCGACAUGAUAAGUCAGGCGAGCACCAGUGGAAAUCCACCACAAAUCAUUGUAAGAAGACCAGUAACAAACAAUUCAAACAUACAUUUGAUAUCCAACGUAAAUAACAAGCCAAACUUGGCCCCUAAAGCAUCAAAUCAGAAUAAAUCUUCAAUACUGGCUCCAGUAAAUGCCAGUCAGCCUAUUGUUAUACAAAAACCUAAAAAUGAAAAAAUGAUCGUACCAGUCAGCAUAGCGCCAAACAUACCUAGCAAACAGGCCAUCGCUUAUUUGGGUUCUGUGAAAAAAUCGAACCAAAAACCAGUCAAUGAAAAUCAGUCCAUCUUAAUAUCGAAUAACCAGACAAAUGCCAACAAUUCAAACCAAAAAUUAUUUUUGACGCCGAUGCCGAAAAUUCCGAAUACAAAAUUUAUUUUACCAGUUACUUUACCUGCGACUAUGGCUUCUAAGGGACCCAUCAUUAAUCUCCAGAUAGCUAACGGGCAAAUACAGAAUGAUCCCCAAGGCAACAUCACUGUUAUGCGCGAUACUAUAGAUGCCACAGAAAUGCCUCCACUUCAGCCUUUAGGCAAAUCUAGUUCUAUGAAUGGCAAAGAUAAUGCCAUACCUCUAAGUCCCAAGGGAGAAAAGCCUUUCGCGAUAUCCAUUCCUGGAUCUAGGGCGGAACCUACUGGCGAACAAGGCGAAUAUUGUCUGUCUAUACCGGAGACGAAUGCAUCCCUUAAUGACGAUAUUUAUACUGUUUCAAUAACAGAUGAAGACGGAGCGCACAGAGAAAAAUCCUUCACAUUGGCCAUACCAGAAAAAGGAAAAAGCUUAUUAAACAGAAAUAUUAUUGAUAGGAAUGAUCUUGCUCCUGUAACUGUUGCAGCUCCUGCUAUUUUGAGACGUUCGAAUUCUGAUAAUAGCGAUCGAAAAACCUCCAACGCCAAUCUGAAGAGACGUAUAUCACUUUGCACUGACAACAUGUCUAGUAAAAAUGUGCUUUUAAAUUUGUCCUUACAAAAACCAAUUACGAAAUCUGAGGAUGAAACAGAAAAUAAUGAUGAUCACCGUGUACCUUCAUUGUUCUGUGAUGAGAAACUAGAAAAAGAUCUGGACACCAAGAAUAUGGGAGAUUCAGAUAGUGAUGAAUACAAAGUAAAAAUUGAGACCCUGAAAAGAAAUUCCGAAGGAUACUAUGAAAAGCUUGAGGAAUAUGUCGAUCCUCCGAGAAUUAAACAAGAGAAUGAGAUGUUAGAAGAGGAUCCACCUGGACUAAUUUGGAAUAACGGCAUAGCUACCCUACAAGGCAGCAACUUACAAUUUCGCGCCAACGAAUUCGGCAUCAUUGAUUUAAUAAGUGUUUUGAACCAUGAGGAAAGUAAUGGUACUUGUUCUAAAUAUCAAUCGCCAAUGAAAAGGCAACAGGAUAAGAAACCUAAUUCUCCUGAGGACAUGUUCUGCUGUGAUGGCUGUGGUUGUCACGGAAUGGCGGCAGAUUUUAUUACUCCGAACUUUUGUAGUGUUACUUGCCAGAAUGAAGUCCAAAAGGUACUGCAAAAGAAAAGGGAUCGUGAGCGAACUGAACUGCUCCGCAAACGAAAUAAAAUAAAAAAGUUACUUAUGAAGAAACAGUUGUCUGAUUCGGAUAUUCCAGCUGACGGUAAAGACGACAAAGUGCCGUUGAAACAUUACGAUUCUAUGCCAUCUACGAACCUGUCGGAAUCAUCUCUGCUAAAGAUGUCGGACGAGGCUGUCGAAAACGAAAAAUACCCUUGGAUGUGUGGAAAGAACGGGUUCUCAUGGAUGCGUUACUUAGAAGUGUGUAAGGCAAAGGCCGCACCCGUGAAAUUAUUCAAAAAUCCAUUCCCAUUAAACAAGAACGGUUUCAGAGUAGGUAUGAGAAUGGAAGCUAUAGAUCCUCAGCACCCGUCGUCGUUCUGUGUGGUGUCCGUGGCGGAGGUCCAAGGCUACAGAAUGAGAUUACAUUUUGACGAAUAUCCUGAUGUUUACGAUUUCUGGGUGAAUGCCGAUUCUAUAAACAUAUUCCCGCCGGGCUGGUGCGACAAGAACGGACGUCCUUUGAAGCCGCCUGCCACCUACACGUCCACUGCGUUCUCGUGGCCACUCUACUUGAAGCAGAUACGAGCUGUUGCAGCACCACGGCAGCUUUUCCAGCAUGUCACCAACUCUAUCUUCAAACCAAACUGCUUCCGUAUCGGCAUGAAGUUGGAAGCCGAAGACAGGAAGAAUGAUCUAGUCUGCGUUGCAACAGUUGCUGACACCUUGGACCAUCGGAUACUUGUCAACUUUGACAGCUGGGAUGAGAUGUACGACUACUGGGUGGAGCUAAACUCCCCAUACAUACACCCCGUGGGCUGGGCUGAGCUGAAUGGAGUGUCCCUUACGCCACCUAAUUUUUACAAAGAUCCUGACACAUUUUCAUGGGAGAGCUACCUAGCAGAAACUGGUUCCUCUGAAGCACCACCUCGAGCCUUUAAACACCGUUUACCUCAAGGAUUUGAACCGGGCAUGAAACUAGAAGUAGUUGAUAAAAGGGUGCCAUUCCUGAUCCGUGUCGCCACGAUAACGGCAGUGAAACGUCACCAAGUUCGAGUAUCGUUCGAUGGUUGGCCCGACGACUUGUCUUAUUGGUUAGAUGACGAUUCACCCGAUUUGCACCCGGUAGGAUGGUGCCUUAAGACCGGACACCCACUCGAGCCACCACUCAGUCCGGAAGAGCUAAGUAUGAGAGGUCCGUGCGGCGUCGGCGGCUGCCGCGGGCUGGGCUCGGCGCACGGCGGCGCCCACAAGCAGCACGUGUCGGCGCACGCCUGUCCCUACGCGCGCCCCGCCGCCCUGCACGCGCCCCGCACCCCGCGCACACCCGACCUCGUGCUGCCCAGGGAGAGGAGGGUUCUAGGGAAACCAUUAAAGUCGAGACCUGCUAGCAGUCUGAACAACAACGCACCCAAAGAUAGGCCACGCGGAAGACCGCCAAAACACAAGCGGGUUGAAGAAGUUGUGAAGAAUGAUCCGAUGUCUGAUGAGGAUUCGAUAGCGAGUAGCGGUUGCAAGCGAUGGCGCGGCACGAACCAGGACAGCGAGUCCACGUGCCGCUCCCCCGCGCCCGCACUCACACCCGCACUCACGCCCGCACAUGCUGUACGGAUCAACGCGCAUCUCACGCAGCUGGCUCUACCAGCCGACCCUGCGCUCUGGACGCAGGAAGAAGUUUCGGCUUUAGUGGCGCGAGUGGCAGGAAAUACUGCAGGUGCUGCCACUGCAGCUGCUCAGAUGGGUGGUGCUGAGCUUGUGAUGGCCUCAAGGGAAGAACUUGUCGCCUGUCUUAAACUUCGACUAGGGCCAGCAGUCAAACUGUACGCAGUGCUCUUGCAACUUCGUCAGAUAUGUUCGGCUUUACCUUCGUGACCGAACACGUGUGUAAUCAUGACUAUGUAAUGUGUCAAUGUGGCACAAUGAACUGUGCUCCCCGUGAUCAGUGGUAUAUUGUAUGUGAUUGUCUUUUAUGUUGAAAUAACUAUUUUUCAUCAAUUUUCUAUUUUACCAAUAUUAAAAUGUUGAGCAAUACUGUGGACGUAUCAUAAGACAAUGAUUCUCGAGUUAAUGAUAUUAAUGCAUUGGAAAUUUAUUGCAAGUUACAAGAGAGACAAGUUGUUGAGAGAGACAAUAUGUGUCAAUAAUUGGUUACCAGUUAGUGCUUUAACAGCGUUUCUGUAGUUAUUGAAAGAAUACAAAAAGAAAAGUGCGUGAUUAUGUUUAUUAACUAAUUUGUUUUUGGACACAAAAAUAGUGAAAUGUAGAGUAUUUUUCUUAUCAUUUUGAUUGAGACAACAUUGUUUGAAAGCUAUGCUAUGCUAUUCAAAUUCAAUACAAUCUCAUUGUGACAAUAAAAGUAAAAACAAAAUAAAAGGUGUUGUGAAGUGACGUACGUACAAAGUAUUCAAUCAGUGUUUUAUAAAAUAAAUUCUAUAUUUUGAUGUCUGAAGUGAUGGUUGAAAAUCUAUGAUAAAAAAUAAACUUUAGUGGAAGAAAAAUCUGUGCUAAAGGGAAUAUAAUGGACUUAAUAUAUUUAAUUUAUUCAUAGUAUGAGUUUAUGUAAGUCAUUUGAUUUUUUUAAAGGACUUUUGUUUAUUUAUUAAGAUACAGUUUAAGUUCAGCAAUAUUUUUCGAGGCUAUAAAUAAGCACGCUUUUAUUUUAUGUUUGAAUUAACCUUUAAGUUAGAUUUAAUUAUUUAAUGUGAACUUAUGUUGGUGCAUAUAAAUUUGACAGUGUUGUUAUCAAUGUUAAUGAAAGGCCUACCAAAAUAAUAUUAUAUAGGAUGUUCUUAAUCGUUUAGUCAAGAGAAAUCAUUUUCAACUAAUACAUUUCUUUGCUCUUUCAUAAAUUAGUUGUAUGUAUCCACAUAUAAUCCUAUAAGUCUCUCCAAAGAAGUGUCUAAUGCACACACACCAGUAUGUACCUACUUUUAUAUAUUACACAAUUUUCUUCAUAAUCUUAACAUAAAUACAGACCAGUUUGGUAUUCAGAAAUUUGAAAAAAAAUCAGAUGUUCAAGUAACAUUAUCAAAAUACAAUAAAAAAUAUUCUGUAUUCAAUUUUUAAACUUGACAGCAUAAUGUGUACUCUAGAUUCUAGUAUAGGUUUAACUCAUUUACUAAAAACCUUCGCAGUUAUAUUAUGCUAAAGAAUAUUUUUUGUCGACUUUAUCGAACGUUUUCGUAACUUCACGAGCAAAAACCAGGUGAUUCCGGACACGAUUGUUCAAUUUUGUGCACCCAAUGUCAUAUAAUAUCAACAACUACCCAAUAAUCAACAUAAACAUUAGCUCCGGUGAGAGGCUUUAGCUCUUGAUUGAUGGUUCAUUUUAAGGUAGUAUUCCGAUGUUGGCGACCAGGGCGACAGGCGACCGCUACCCUGGUCGGCUGUCGCCUGACGACCAGUGGCAUUCCGAUGUCAGCGACCGUGACCGACGGCCAGUCUGUCCGCAGUUUUUAUUGCAUACAGUUGUGUUCUAGUGCUCAGUACAAUUAUGUCGGAAAAUUUGUCUGCAACUAGGAAAAGAGCUAGAUGAUACACACAUUGUUGUUUGCCUUGCUUUCGGAAACAAGAGUUUUGCCAAUUUCUUCACAAAUAUUGUCUCGAAUAACAUUAUCUCGAUAUGAGCGGAGUGUCGAAUCGUAUAUAGGUGGUUUUUAGACACUACAUCUAUUAAUAAUUCGUCAUCAUGUGUGGAAAAUGAUGCCAUUUUGACGUACAACGUGGCGGGUCGCGCGGCGGCACUGCUCCAGUAGCAGUAGCGUCGCGCGACCGGGUCGCUUGUGUUGUUUAGGGUUCCAUAUAAAUUCAUACUAAGCAGUAAGUCGCGCGACCCGGUCGCGGUCGCCAACAUCUGAACGCUACCAUUACGAUACACUAUGUCGUUACUAUACAGGGUGUAAAGAAGCCAACAUUGAAAUAAACCACAAAUCUAACAUGAACGAAAAACAAUAUUGAUUGAUUGAAAUAAUAACAUUUAUUAAUCGCUCUGAUAAUCUCUGUUAAACAACCCAGAAUAGGGUAUGAAGGUAGCUAAUUGGCAGGCACACUCGCGAUACUUUGGAGGCGGUACAUUUGGCACCUCAUGAGUUGAAUAUGCGCAUCUAACUGCACUGCUACAAAAAAUAGUCAAAUAUUAUUUGUAACAAUCUUCCAAAUCGCAUUGUCUGCCGCCUCAUUUUUAUAUAAUAUGCUUCUAAAAUAUCCUGUAUAAAUUUAAAUGAAAAAAUUAGGAAUUUUGGUUCCUUUUCACCUAUAUCAACUGUACAACUAUAUCAAAAUUUCUGUUUGGUUCAUGGUUUUGCCGUCCUAUAAGUAAACACACAUAUCCUUAGUCGGUAUGAUUUUUUUAAAUUAUAAAUUUUAAUAUCAUGACAAAAAUUUUAAAUCGAAUCUAAACAUGACUUUGAAUGUAAUUGAAAACGACCAAAAAAUAAUUUACAAUUUAAAAGUCAUAUAAUAUACCUUUUCUGACAAAAAUUCAAAUUAGUAAAUAGACUAGUGCUUUGAUGAGAUAAAAUCCCUUUAUCAUGGUUUCAUGAAAUCGUUUAACAAAAAUUAUGCCUUUUGCGAUAUAAUUAUAAUCCAAUUUCAAAAUCAAUUAAAUCCAAUUUUAGUGUAAACGUGACUGAGCACAAAUCAUGCUUUAAAUUGGGGUUGUGAUUAGUUUUGACGGUGCGACGGUAUCGCGAUAUUGUAUGUCCUUAAAUGUAAGCCUGUUCAAUAUUGAAUACAACAAAUCCUCAAUGGAACGCUAUUUGGUCUGAUUUCCUGUUCUUGCUGAUCAUUUAGUUAGUAAUAUGACUACUCGACUCUUAAAGUACUUGAGACCCAGUUUGUCUCAAAUAUCGUUUGGAGAUAUUCUAAACUGAUUAUGUUCAAGCGAGUCACUCCCUUAUUUCAUGCUGGGAUAGUCUCGUGUAAGUCUCACACUUAUACCCUUAAGGGUCUUUCGUGUCAUCCCCGAGUUCUACAUCACAAGUCUUAAUGUUGCUCACGUGAGUUAAUAUCAAAGUUUUUGAGCCUAAAGACAUCUUAGUCUGGAUAACCUUGACUGUCCACUCUUAUACUUGCUGCUUAUUAGACGGAUCCACACCGGACGAUCCAAAAUGGAUCGGCGAUCCACGAUCCAAGAUCGUGAUGCGUGGAGCGUGGAUCAUUCUAGGUCGAUCCAACAGCAAUCUUUUGCGAUCCUGACGGGCUGCUCUAACACGCUCCUGCCGACCCAUACUGAAUCAGUUGAAUUUUGUCUGGCUAUGGAGUCACACGUGCAACGACGGCGACGAAUAGCUGUAGCAGCAGCAAGCUACAUUUUACUUGUAUAUUUACGGCAAAAAUUACGAAAACGAAAAACACACUAUUGGUUUAAAAUAAUUUUUAAAAACCGGUUGGAAUAUGGGACUCGUCUUUACAAAGAGUUAAUUGAUGAUGGAGCUGAAGCUAAUUUUGCACGAAUGACUGCAAAUCGAAACAUUUAUUCUCCCUAUAUAGGGAAAUUAAACGGAUACAUUGCGAAUCGUUCAUAACGGCGGAUCACGCGAUUCUAAGUCGUCCAGACCGCGCGCGUCAAGCGACUGAGGCCACUUUGUGCGUGACCAAAAAACCGACAAAUGGAUCGUCCGCGAUCGGAGCGCUUUGGAUCGUUCGGUGUGGAUCUGGCUAUUGAUACUUUUAACUUUCAAUAUCAAUAAAAAAGCCAACUUGUCUGACUGUGAAACAAACCUAUAACACAAACUAUGGUAAACUUCACCAGAACUGGUGAAGUUUAAUAAUUUAAUGUGAAGUUUACUAUAGUAAUAUUAAUAGGCAAUGAUGGUUGUAAUUAUUAUGACGUGUGUAUAAAAAGUAUUCGUGAUUCAUUAUAAACUUAUAAAAAGUACUGAAAAAUAUUUAACUAAAUGACUAAAAUCAUGCCGGAAAUAAAAAUCACAAUAUUCUCAAUGAUAAAGAAAAAUGAAAUAUUUUUUUGAAUAGUAAAAAUAUUCCUGGUUCAAUUUAAUAACGGUACAAUUCCUAUCGAGUCUCCUACGUCAUGACCCACUUUAUUAAAAAAUGAAAGUUUGGCCUUUAGCUUUCAGUAAAUGCUUUCCCCUCAGUGACCUCAAGGUAGAUGGACCUAGGAUAAAUUCAUGAAAUGCCUGACUGAGAAAUAUUUCGUCCCCACAUUACAACUUGUCAAAUGUAAUUCUUUUAAUUUUACCAUUUACCACUAAUAUAAUAAAUUGUUGACAGUUUGCUCUUUGGUGACCUUAAAUAUUAUAAGUAAUCUUAUUUCAAUUAUGUUUUGUUUCAAGUAAGACUGCCUACAUAAUGGAUUGUAGGAGAACAAGUAAGGAAACAAUUUAGUGUUAUACCUGUACAUAUUAAAUUUUAUAACCGUAUUCUUACGCCAAGUCGAUUGUAAUAUAAUAAUGUAUAUUAAAAAAUGGCAAAAAAUACGUAGUAUUCUAUUUUCAAUGGCCGCAAAAUACUUGUUCGUGUAUUAACAUUUUUUUGUUAAUUCUUAUGAAUUCAAUUAAUUUUACAGUUUUUAAGUGUUGGCGACUUUUUGUUAGUGCAUAAUGUUUUAAACUUAAUUUUAUGCCUAUGAAGUUAUCGCCAUAUUUACUAAUGAUAUUUAAAUACCAUGAGUCAUUUCGAAGUUGUUACCUAAAUAUUGUUAAAUGUAAAUAACUCAUAGGUUUCUCAAUAUAUUUUUACAAGCUGUAGUCAUGUACAUAUUAUGUAGUUAGAAAUAUAAGAGUUUUAUAUUCUAGCGUGGGGCGCGCCAUUUUAUUGUCGU